AUUGAACGCUGGCGGCAGGCCUAACACAUGCAAGUCGAACGAGUGGCGGACGGGUGAGUAAUGUCUGGGAAACUGCCCGAUGGAGGGGGAUAACUACUGGAAACGGUAGCUAAUACCGCAUACCAUCGGAUGUGCCCAGAUGGGAUUAGCUAGUAGGUGGGGUAACGGCUCACCUAGGCGACGAUCCCUAGCUGGUCUGAGAGGAUGACCAGCUACACUGGAACUGAGACAAGGUUCAGACUCCUACGGGAGGCAGCAGCGGGGAAGAUGGCACAAUGGGCGCAAGCCUGACGCAGCCAGGCCGCGUGUAUGAAGAAGGCCUUAGGGGUGUAAAGUACUGGCAGGGAGGAGGCGUUACUCGCAGAAGAAGCACCGGCUAACUCCGUGCCAGCAGCCGCGGGAAUAC
rnacentral:rRNA from 1 species